rnacentral:pre_miRNA from 1 species
UAUAUACUCCCUCCGUCCCAAAAUUCUUGUCUUAGUUUUGUCUAGAUACGGAUGUAUCUAAUACUAAAAUGUGACUUGAUACAUCCGUAUUUAGACAAAUCUAAGACAAGAAUUUUGGGACGGAGGGAGUAUAGU